AGACCAGUGCCAGUCUUUCUGGACCCCUCAUUCUUACCAGGGAGACAGCAACCACAUCACACAAUGAAAGAGCAAAUGCUGAAUGGUCCUGCUGGGGUCACAGGCUCACCCCUGAACCAACUGCUAUGAACCCCAGAAGAAGGGAGAUUGGAAUAAAUCUGUAAAAAUCAGUCACUGCUACAGUCCACUCGGGAAAUUAGCCAACAUCACCAGGAGCGAAGACAGUGCCGAUGAGGGGAAAGAGAAGUGUUUCCCUUUGAGCACCGAGUCCUUCCAGAGACUGACCAAAGUGGGGAAAGAGUCGGGGUCUUGGGACACCAAUCUCCAACAUGGGCACUCACACGUAAAGCAGGAAGAAACUUUUGCUUCUUCAUAACCUG